UACAGGCUUAACACAUGCAAGUCGAGGGGCAGCAUUUCAGUUUGCUUGCAAACUGGAGAUGGCGACCGGCGCACGGGUGAGUAACACGUAUCCAACCUGCCGAUAACUCGGGGAUAGCCUUUCGAAAGAAAGAUUAAUACCCGAUGGCAUAAUUAGACCGCAUGGUCUUAUUAUUAAAGAAUUUCGGUUAUCGAUGGGGAUGCGUUCCAUUAGGCAGUUGGUGAGGUAACGGCUCACCAAACCUUCGAUGGAUAGGGGUUCUGAGAGGAAGGUCCCCCACAUUGGAACUGAGACACGGUCCAAACUCCUACGGGAGGCAGCAGUGAGGAAUAUUGGUCAAUGGGCGCAGGCCUGAACCAGCCAAGUAGCGUGAAGGAUGACUGCCCUAUGGGUUGUAAACUUCUUUUAUAUGGGAAUAAAGUUUUCCACGUGUGGAAUUUUGUAUGUACCAUAUGAAUAAGGAUCGGCUAACUCCGUGCCAGCAGCCGCGGUAAUACGGAGGAUCCGAGCGUUAUCCGGAUUUAUUGGGUUUAAAGGGAGCGUAGGUGGACAGUUAAGUCAGUUGUGAAAGUUUGCGGCUCAACCGUAAAAUUGCAGUUGAUACUGGCUGUCUUGAGUACAGUAGAGGUGGGCGGAAUUCGUGGUGUAGCGGUGAAAUGCUUAGAUAUCACGAAGAACUCCGAUUGCGAAGGCAGCUCACUGGACUGCAACUGACACUGAUGCUCGAAAGUGUGGGUAUCAAACAGGAUUAGAUACCCUGGUAGUCCACACAGUAAAUGAUGAAUACUCGCUGUUUGCGAUAUACAGUAAGCGGCCAAGCGAAAGCAUUAAGUAUUCCACCUGGGGAGUACGCCGGCAACGGUGAAACUCAAAGGAAUUGACGGGGCCCGCACAAGCGGAGGAACAUGUGGUUUAAUUCGAUGAUACGCGAGGAACCUUACCCGGGCUUAAAUUGCAUUUGAAUAUAUUGGAAACAGUAUAGCCGUAAGGCAAAUGUGAAGGUGCUGCAUGGUUGUCGUCAGCUCGUGCCGUGAGGUGUCGGCUUAAGUGCCAUAACGAGCGCAACCCUUAUCUUUAGUUACUAACAGGUCAUGCUGAGGACUCUAGAGAGACUGCCGUCGUAAGAUGUGAGGAAGGUGGGGAUGACGUCAAAUCAGCACGGCCCUUACGUCCGGGGCUACACACGUGUUACAAUGGGGGGUACAGAAGGCAGCUACCUGGUGACAGGAUGCUAAUCCCAAAAGCCUCUCUCAGUUCGGAUCGAAGUCUGCAACCCGACUUCGUGAAGCUGGAUUCGCUAGUAAUCGCGCAUCAGCCAUGGCGCGGUGAAUACGUUCCCGGGCCUUGUACACACCGCCCGUCAAGCCAUGAAAGCCGGGGGUACCUGAAGUACGUAACCGCAAGGAGCGUCCUAGGGUAAAACUGGUAAUUGGGGCUAAGUCGUA
rnacentral:rRNA from 1 species